UAAAACAAACGUUUGUAAUGUAACUAAUAACAAUUUUUAAAAAUUAUUUUAAUAUGAUAUUUGGUCAAACCUAAAAGGUUGUUAGUAUAAAACCUUUAUUAUUACUACUAGUAUUCUUAUUGAUAUUAUAUUUUUAGUAUUGUUAUUGUUAUUAUUAUUAUUAAUAGGUAAAAGUGCAAAAAAAAAAAUAAAUAAAUAAAUAAACUAUUGUUUAAUGGCAAGAUGCCUUCGUGAAGGGCAUUAUUGGUAUUUUACAGUUUUGUUAUCUUAUACUCCCUCCGUUCCUUAUUAGUAGUCCAUUUUCCUCUUUUUACAUGUCUCAAAUUAGUUGUCCUUUUUGAAAAGUCAAAGCAUCUUUUUUCUAUAUUUUCAUCAUUGUCCUUUUAUCUUUUUAAAAAAUUUCAAACUUUGUAACUAUAUAUAUUUAAAUUAAAAUAGAUAAUUUGGUAAUUUUAAAAGGGGGACAAUGCAUUAAUUACAUGUUCCCUUAAAAAGUUAUAAAAUCAAGAAUGGACAAUUAAAAAGGGACGGAGGUAGUAGUAGUUUUUAUAAUAAAUAAAUAAGUGAGGGUAAAUAAGUAAUUUCAAAUAGUUUAGGGUGCGGUAUGUAAUGCCACCACCUACCCCACGCUCUUCGGAUCUGCUGUAUUGUCUAUUCGGGUCACAACUUUCUACCUGUCUCGCCGUUUCCAUUGUGUUCUGAUAAGAUCUGCUGGUGCCAGUUUUUUAUACUCGCCGAUUGUCUAUUCCGAUCAGCUUCGCCGGCAGACAGACGCAAUCAAAGACGACAGCUUUCUACCUGCCUCGCCGUUUCCCUUGUGUUCUGAUCAGAUCUGCUUCCGAUCGUCUUGGCCGUCGGUGUCUCUGUUUGAUGAGGUUUGCAUCACCAACUUCUAUUCUAACAGGCUAAAUCUUAUCUUACUUAUUCAAAUACUAAUAAUUAUUUUAUUUUAAGGUUGUCAGUGUUCUAUUAGGAUUUCACACUUUUCCAAAUUGUAUUAGGAUUUGUCAUUUUGCCUAUAUAAGUCUUUAAUUAGAACCCAUUUAAUUAGAACCAUCCAAAGAGAGGAACAAGUGUGAAGUGGAUUCAACAAGUAGUGAGUGUUCGUUAAUGGCUUUUAGGAUUAGAAGGUGCCAGAAUGCACAGAGACCGUCGUGGGCCCAAUUUUUCUCUGCCGCUGCUGAAAUCAUUGGCAGUAACCACGACCUGAUCGUGGAGAUCUGCCGUUCCUUGUGCUUGGAAAAUGCAUUGCAAAAUAGAGGAUUCCAUCAUCUAAAUCAAAAACUUUGUUGCUGAGAUGUUUUUCACCCAACACAACCCAAAACAGAGAGUUAGAGAGAGAAGAGACCAAAGAAAUCUGAGGUCGGCGGGAUGCCUCGGUCUCGGAUGAUGGCGGCUUGUGCGCGAAGGACUCGGCUGUGAUGAGAGCUCAGUUGACUCGGCUGUGAACUGUGGAGGCGGCAGUGAGCUCAGGGGGCCUCGGCGGUGAAUUGUGGACGGCUGUGUGCUCGAAACACGGACAGUGGUGUGCUCGACUAUGGAGAUGGCGGAAUGGGCCGGCGAGCUUGGAAUGGACGAUGGAAUGGACCGGCGAGCAAGGUGAGCUGAACGGCGGGCAAGGCAGUGACGGCGAUGGGCUGACGCAAUGGUGCAAAGAAAUGCAAUAUAUAUGGCCAACGGAUCUGACGGGUGGUGCAACAGCUAUGAUGGAGCUAUGACAGGAGACCCACCGAUCCCAGCAAUAGAUUCCUUAGCUUAUCCAAACACUCCUUAGAUGACAUCUACCACUCCGAUCCCAGCCACAAAUUCCACGGCUUCAUCGUUCCUUUCAGUCAAUCAAUUCGCGCGGAUGGGGUAAACUGUAAAAAAAUAUAUAGUUCAGGGGGUUUAUUGCAACUUUUAUAGUUCAUGGGGGUUUCUUGCACAUACCCUAAUAGUUCAGGGGGUUUUUUUGCAACUUUUAUAGUUCAGGGGGGUUUCUUGCACAUACCUCAAUAGUUCAAGGGGGUUUUUUGCAACUUUUAUAGUUCUUGGGGGUUUCUUGCACAUACCCAAAUAAUUCAGGGGGGUUUAAUCCACUUUACCCUAUUUAAUUACUAGUUUUUAGUCAUUACAUUUUUUAUCCCAUUUUUUGUAAUUUUUAGAGAUAAUUGACUUUUACUGUUAAUUUUAGUGUUAUGCUGUUCGAUUU